rfam:Ovis aries breed Texel chromosome 12, whole genome shotgun sequence.
UCCCUGAUGGUCCAGUGGUUAGGACUCUGCUCUUUCAGUGUUGAAUACUCAGGUUUGAUCCCUGGUAGGGGAA